GAAAUGGUGGCUCAGUGGUAGAAUACUCCCCUUCCACUUGGGAGACUCUGGCUCGAUUCCUGGCCAAUUCA
rnacentral:tRNA from 1 species